rnacentral:tRNA from 1 species
ACCAAAGUAGUUUAAAAAAAACAUUAAUUUGUGGCAUUAGAAUUACCAGUUAAAACCUGGUCUCUGGUC